UACGGGGGGGGUAAGCGUUGUUCGGAAUUACUGGGCGUAAAGGGCUCGUAGGCGCCAACUAAGUCAGACGUGAAAUCCCUCAGCUUAACUGGGGAACUGCGUCUGAUACUGGAUGGCUUGGAUUCGGGAGAGGAAUGCGGAAUUCCAGGUGUAGCGGUGAAAUGCGUAGAUAUCUGGAGGAACACCGGUGGCGAAGGCGGCAUUCUGGACCGACAUUGACGCUGAGGAGCGAAAGCCAGGGGAGCAAACGGG
rnacentral:rRNA from 1 species